UACGUAGGGUCCGAGCGUUGUCCGGAAUUACUGGGCGUAAAGAGCUCGUAGGUGGUUUGUCGCGUUGUUCGUGAAAACUCACAGCUUAACUGUGGGCGUGCGGGCGAUACGGGCAGACUUGAGUACUGCAGGGGAGACUGGAAUUCCUGGUGUAGCGGUGGAAUGCGCAGACUAUCAGGAGGAACACCGGUGGGCGAAGGCGGGUCUCUGGGCAGUAACUGA
rnacentral:rRNA from 1 species